GAUGAACGCUGGCGGCGUGCUUAACACAUGCAAGUCGAACGAUGAAGCCCAGCCUUCUUGGUGGGUUAGUGGCGAACGGGUGAGUAACACGUGAGUAACCUCUCCUUCACUCUGUGAUAAGCCCGGGGAACUGGGUCUAAUACCGGAUAUGUGUGCCUUGCGCAUGUGGGGUGUUUGUAAGAUUUUUCGUUCGUGGAUGGACUCGCGGCCUAUCAGCUUGUUGGUGAGGUAAUGGCUCACCAAGGCGACGACGGGUAGCCGGCCUGAGAGGGUGACCGGCCACACUGGGACUGAGACACGGCCCAGACUCCUACGGGAGGCAGCAGUGGGGAAUAUUGCACAAUGGGCGGAAGCCUGAUGCAGCAACGCCGCGUGAGGGAUGACGGCCUUCGGGUUGUAAACCUCUUUCAGUAGGGAAGAAGCGAAAGUGACGGUACCUGCAGAAGAAGCACCGGCUAACUACGUG
rnacentral:rRNA from 1 species